UUCUUUAUAGUUAAAUCCUCAUAUUUGGCCUUUAUAGUGCCAUGGCUCUUGAAUGAGAGCAAGGUCAUAGCAGCCACCAUGAGCAGCCGACCCGAAAGGGCAGAAGUAGCUCGGGAGUGCUGGAGGUUGAUUUGGAUCACCCUCAGAUUCAUAACAUUACAGGUGCCUAAGAUGGGCAGAUUUCCAUGCCCACCACCAAACACUGGGCACCAGAAGGUCCAGGGACACUUCCAGAAUCCCAGUCCUUAUCGGCGAGCCCAAUCAGUUCAUGACCCUUUGCAGGAGCAACCACUGAAGCUAUCAGUCAGCCAGACUUGGAAUUAGGAUCUGAAAGCACCUUGAAGAUCCCUUCAUUGACCCUAGAGAGAGCCUUAAAAUUGGCUGCUUUGAUGGCCUUAACUGAGACAGGAUCGACCAUCAUGAUGCACUGUUCCUUCACAUCCGUACGUUGUCCCAGAACUUCCAGUUCUCAGUUUUGAGUCCCGGAUUGUAAGUUCUGUCAACCUACAAUCCGGGAGUCAAGCCAAAAGUUUAUUCACAACCCGU
rnacentral:lncRNA from 1 species